rnacentral:rRNA from 1 species
UAGGGAAUCUUCCGCAAUGGACGCAAGUCUGACGGAGCAACGCCGCGUGAGUGAAGAAGGAUUUCGGUUCGUAAAACUCUGUUGUCAGAGAAGAACAGCGCAUAGAGUAACUGUUAUGCGUGUGACGGUAUCUAACCAGAAAGCCACGGCUAACUACGUGCCAGCAGCCGCGGUAAUACGUAGGUGGCAAGCGUUGUCCGGAUUUAUUGGGCGUAAAGCGAGCGCAGGCGGUUAGAUAAGUCUGAAGUUAAAGGCAGUGGCUCAACCAUUGUAGGCUUUGGAAACUGUUUAACUUGAGUGCAGAAGGGGAGAGUGGAAUUCCAUGUGUAGCGGUGAAAUGCGUAGAUAUAUGGAGGAACACCGGUGGCGAAAGCGGCUCUCUGGUCUGUAACUGACGCUGAGGCUCGAAAGCGUGGGGAGCGAACAGG